rnacentral:rRNA from 1 species
AGUGAACGCUGGCGGUAGGCCUAACACAUGCAAGUCGAACGGCAGCACAGUAAGAGCUUGCUCUUACGGGUGGCGAGUGGCGGACGGGUGAGGAAUACAUCGGAAUCUACUUUUUCGUGGGGGAUAACGUAGGGAAACUUACGCUAAUACCGCAUACGACCUACGGGUGAAAGCAGGGGAUCUUCGGACCUUGCGCGAUUGAUUGAGCCGAUGUCGGAUUAGCUAGUUGGCGGGGUAAAGGCCCACCAAGGCGACGAUCCGUAGCUGGUCUGAGAGGAUGAUCAGCCACACUGGGACUGAGACACGGUCCAGACUCCUACGGGAGGCAGCAGUGGGGAAUAUUGGACAAUGGGCGCAAGCCUGAUCCAGCCAUACCGCGUGGGUGAAGAAGGCCUUCGGGUUGUAAAGCCCUUUUGUUGGGAAAGAAAAGCAGCAGGUUAAUACCCCGCUGUUCUGACGGUACCCAAAGAAUAAGCACCGGCUAACUUCGUG